GGAAAGUCCAUGCCACACCAUUGCGGACAGCCACAGACCCGACGCUGAUAACCCGGCAGAGCAGCUUCACGCAAUCGGACACCACCGAAGUGCCCGACUAAACGCAGGUUAGAACGCCAGCCGGAACACACGGGUUCGCAGUUCCGCGAUCGAACCAGCCGCGAUGUACAGUUAGGCCUAACGGAUACACACGCGUCUAAAUUCAGCGCGAUUGCAGCCCUGGCAGCCUGCCAUAUUUGCAGCGAUACCGUUCCAGACAUCGUCCACACAGUUUCCCAAAAUCAGGGGUCCAAAACUGGGCUAAUUU